GCCUCUACUCUCUAUAUCAGAUCUGCCUCUUUCUUAUAAAGGUUCCAUUUCCUGAAUGUAGCAAUGGAAACACCUGCACUGGAUCAACUACAUCCUCCCUAAACAGCGUCUUAAACCGUCACGAGUGCUUCAAGGACACAGGGGUA
rnacentral:lncRNA from 14 species